rnacentral:rRNA from 1 species
GGAUAACCUACCCUUUAGGACCGGGAUAACUUGGGAAACUGAGGAUAAUACUGGAUAGGCAAUUUUUCCUGUAAUGGUUUUUUGUUUAAAUGUUUUUUCGCCUAAGGAUGGGUCUGCGGCCGAUUAGGUAGUUGGUUAGGUAACGGCUUACCAAGCCGUUGAUCGGUACGGGUUGUGAGAGCAAGAGCCCGGAGAUGGAACCUGAGACAAGGUUCCAGGCCCUAUGGGGCGCAGCAGGCGCGAAACCUCCACAAUGUGAGAAAUCGCGAUGGGGGGAUCCCAAGUGCCAUUCUUAACGGGAUGGCUUUUCAUUAGUGUAAAAAGCUUUUGGAAUAAGAGCUGGGCAAGACCGGUGCCAGCCGCCGCGGUAACACCGGCAGCUCUAGUGGUAGCAAUUUUUAUUGGGCCUAAAGCGUCCGUAGCCGGUUUAAUAAGUCUCUGGUGAAAUCCUGUAGCUUAACUAUGGGAAUUGCUGGAGAUACUAUUAGACUUGAGACCGGGAGAGGUUAGAGGUACUCCCAGGGUAGAGGUGAAAUUCUGUAAUCCUGGGAGGACCGCCUGUUGCGAAGGCGUCUAACUGGAACGGUUCUGACGG